GGGUUGUGAGGUUAAGCGACUAAGCGUACACGGUGGAUGCCCUGGCAGUCAGAGGCGAUGAAGGACGUGCUAAUCUGCGAAAAGCGUCGGUAAGGUGAUAUGAACCGUUAUAACCGGCGAUGUCCGAAUGGGGAAGCCCAGUGCAAUUCGUUGCACUAUCGUUAACUGAAUACAUAGGUUAACGAGGCGAACCGGGGGAACU
rnacentral:rRNA from 1 species